AAAGUACAGUCGGCGCACAGAAUCUCCGCCCCGCGCACCCUACCCCCUCGGCAGCACCGCCUUGCCUAACCAGUGUUCUGUGGGAAACACUGCAGAUAAUGUUCGUUUGGCUGCCUGGGGCUCGGGAAGAUAGAUUUUUUUGAGCAAGCACUGAUAAUGCGGAACACGGUCUCGAUUUGCGGGACGCAUGAAGUGGGCUUCAAACCCCGUACGCGCACGCGCUCCGCUCACAGCGCCUCGACAUGCUUCUCCCCGCUGCUCGUGCUCGCUCUAUUUCAGGCCAUGUUGCUGCCCGGGCUUCUCUCUUCACUUUGCAGUAGUCUUGCUUGAAGCGGAUGCUGGUUUGUUUUAUAGUCGUCCUCCAGAUGUCGUCAUGGUGAUAACAAUUAUACUAUCAGCAAUAGUAGAGAUGGACGCGGCCUUUGAGGCGCUGGCUCUCACAGGACGUGGAUGAGCUCUUCACGUGUGUUGUCGUCGUCCUUUUCUUGCAGGCCUUGUAUCUCUCGAGCUCUGUGACUCGUUUUUUGAGAUCUUUAUUUUCUUUCACCAGCAGUGGGAAUUCUUUUUCAACGAGGUUUACCCUAUUUUUGCACUCCUUAAUGUCUUAGCAGUUCAGUUGGCAGCAAACUUGGAGACGUUAGCAUCCAUUAGCGCUUUUAGCAGCACUAAAUUCAUUCUCUUGUCUUUUCAAUCUGCCAACCGCGGAAACAACACUGAAACACUGCUGUUCCAACAUGAUCGGAGGAAAUAUUGGCGAAAUGCUGCAGAUGCAGGUGGUAAACUUUGGCUGUGAAGAGUUUAUCAAGAUUUAUGCAACAAAAACCGUUUUAGAAAAUAGAUGAGCUACAACAUGGACAGGCAAUGGUGAGGAGAACACGAGGACAGCUGAGUGCAACACGUGGCUGUAUGAACCAUGAAGCACUAGGUUCCGCGUGAAGGGAAGUCCAUAAUCCAGAACACAUGGAGUCUCCUUGCUGGAAAUAAAAGUUGAGGGAGCAAGGGAGCAUUGACCAUCGUGUGAACUGACAGAGAAGCAGAUACUUCCAACUAAUUUCCAAGAGGGGUCGCUGGUUUUUCUUUGGAAGUGGAGCAAAAACAACCCUGUAGGGUUUAAGUAUAAAGGUUUGCACAAAGGAUGCUGACACCGACCUUACUGGGUUAAUGAAAAGAGCAUUGUGGAGUUGGAACUAGGAAAUGCUCUGCCAAAGACUGAAAGUUUUUAAUAAAAUAAAAACUUUUAAAGAAA